rnacentral:rRNA from 1 species
GUCUAUGGCCAUACCACCUUGAACACACCUAAUCUCGUCUGAUCUUGGAAGCUAAGCAGGGUCGGGCCUGGUUAGUACUUGGAUGGGAGAAUUGGAAUCACGUGGUAUUUAUC